rnacentral:rRNA from 1 species
UACAGAGGUCUCAAGCGUUGUUCGGAUUCAUUGGGCGUAAAGGGUGCGUAGGUGGCGCCGUAAGUCGGGUGUGAAAUUUCGGAGCUUAACUCCGAAACUGCAUUCGAUACUGCGGUGCCUGAGGACUGGAGAGGAGACUGGAAUUCAUGGUGUAGCAGUGAAAUGCGUAGAGAUCACGAGGAAGACCAGUGGCGAAGGCGGGUCUCUGGACAGUUCCUGACACUGAGGCACGAAGGCCAGGGGAGCAAACGGG